GGCGAUAGGGGCGGCAGCUGCAGGAGAAAGGGGGCGUUCGGCCACAAACUGGAGGAACGGGCCGCGUCCCCCUCGCUCCUCACCGCCCUCCUGCACACUGGGCGCUGCUGUGUGUACAGACCUACUUCGAUGAGGUUCUCGCUGGGCCGCCAUCUUCUCGACUAUGCUUCACUGUGGAGCAAUCAAGGGGGGCUGUCACGUGGCUCACCGCGCCGCCCUGGAUUCUGGGAGACUUUAACAUCCUCAGGCCAAUCUGGCCUCGGUCGCUUGACGUCCUCAUGUCCAUGACUUUCCCUUGAACCUCAGCCAUGCACCCUCAGGGUCACACAACUGGUACACGUGACAUCUGAAAUUCCAGCUUCCCGCUCUCCACAUAGUACUUGCUUUUCUGGCUUCGCUUUCAUUUUCUUCGCAUUGGCUAAUGCCCCCCGUAUUCAUUCCCCGGUGUUAGGGAGCCCUCCACGUCCAUUCAUCUUCUCCCUAUUGAAUAAAUAACGGGUCUCCUGUUAUCAUUCAACCACCUGAGGUUCUGCAAGGAUGAAACCCACACACCAUGGCCUCCACCUUCAGCUGAGCCCUCAUCACCACCCAAAAUUGUUCCAUUUGUCUCUAGAUCCCUUCUCUCUCCGAGUGGCUUUACCAAACCUUUGCCUCUCCCGUCUCAUAUUCCCCACUCUCCUUUCUCAUAGAGAAAAAUAAAGCCGUCAAGAAUUUCCUCUACCUUC